rnacentral:rRNA from 1 species
AACGAACGCUGGCGGCAUGCCUAACACAUGCAAGUCGAACGAAGGCUUCGGCCUUAGUGGCGCACGGGUGCGUAACGCGUGGGAAUCUGCCCUUAGGUUCGGAAUAACAGUUAGAAAUGACUGCUAAUACCGGAUGAUGACGUAAGUCCAAAGAUUUAUCGCCUGAGGAUGAGCCCGCGUAGGAUUAGCUAGUUGGUGUGGUAAAGGCGCACCAAGGCGACGAUCCUUAGCUGGUCUGAGAGGAUGAUCAGCCACACUGGGACUGAGACACGGCCCAGACUCCUACGGGAAGCAGCAGUGGGGAAUAUUGGACAAUGGGCGCAAGCCUGAUCCAGCAAUGUCGCGUGAGUGAUGAAGGCCUUAGGGUUGUAAAGCUCUUUUACCCGUGAUGAUAAUGACAGUAGCGGGAGAAUAAGCCCCGGCUAACUCCGUG